rnacentral:rRNA from 1 species
AUGCAGAUGGUUUCUUGUGGUCGCACUGCCAUUAACAUCAACGGCAAGAUCGGCCCCUACUUUCCCACUCUUUGUGGGGUGAGACGGGGCGACCCUUUCUCCCCGUUCCUGUUCAAUAUGGUGGUGGACGCACUGGCUGCCAUCCUGGACAGGGCGAAGGCGGCCGGCCAUAUUCGGGGUCUCGUGCCCCACUUGGCCAAUGGCGCAGGCAUCUCCCUGCUCCAAUAUGCGGACGACACCAUCAUCAUGGUCGAAGGGUCGACCGCAGACAUCGCUAACCUCAAGUUCCUCCUCCUCUGCUUCCAACAGAUGUCUGGCCUCAAGAUCAACUUCGACAAGAGUGAUGUGACGGUGAUGGGAUACUCUCCGGUUGAGGCCCGGGACAUUGCCAACCGCCUGAACUGCCGCCUUGGGUCCCUUCCCACCACCUACCUGGGAACACCCAUUAGUGACUCUCGCCUUACUGUUGCUGACCUGCGUCCGACUGUCGCCAAAUUGCAGACGUGCAUUGAACCUUGGCAGGGUCGGUGGUUGUCUAAGGCGGCUCGGACGAUUCUCAUCAACUCUUCGCUCUCUAGUCUCCUCUUGUUCCUCAUGAGCUUCUAA